UACGAGGGGUGCAAACGUUAUUCGGAAUUACUGGGUGUAAAGGGUAUGUAGACGGCAUUCUAAGUCAAUUGUUAAAUUCCCCGGCUUAACUGGGGCUAGGCGAUUGAAACUAGAAAGCUAGAGGAUGGAAGAGAGAAGUGGAAUUCUCGGAGUAGCGGUAAAAUGCGUAGAUCUCGAGAGGAACACCGAUGGCGAAGGCAGCUUCUUGGUCCAUUACUGACGUUGAGAUACGAAAGCGUGGGGAGCAAACAGG
rnacentral:rRNA from 1 species